rnacentral:rRNA from 1 species
CCCGGUGAAGUUUUAACGGCCGCAGUUAGGAGCUGUGCUAAGGUAGCGUAAUAAGUUGUCCUUUAAAUGGGGAAAGGAAUGAAUGGUUUGACGUGGGAAAGCCUGUCUCUGGUGGACUAGUAGAAAUUUUCUUCCCAGUGAAAAGCCUGGGAUGAAAUUAAAAGACGAGAAGACCCUGUCGAGCUUGAUUAAGCUUGAGAGAAUUUCAAGCGAAAGUUUGGUUGGGGCAACCUGGGAGCAAGAAAAGACUCCUUAGGGAAGAUAAGGAUCCAAAACUUUUGAAAAGAGAAAAAGCUACCGCAGGGAUAACAGCGUUAUCUCUUCUGAGAGAACAAAUUGAAGGGGAG